rnacentral:rRNA from 1 species
UGCCCAAGAGAUCGGGAUAACACCUGGAAACAGAUGCUAAUACCGGAUAAUAACAGAUGAUGCCUAUCAACUGUUUAAAAGAUGGUUCUGCUAUCACUCUUGGAUGGACCUGCGGUGCAUUAGCUAGUUGGUAGGGUAACGGCCUACCAAGGCGAUGAUGCAUAGCCGAGUUGAGAGACUGAUCGGCCACAUUGGGACUGAGACACGGCCCAAACUCCUACGGGAGGCAGCAGCU